rnacentral:rRNA from 1 species
UACGUAGGGUGCAAGCGUUAAUCGGAAUUACUGGGCGUAAAGCGUGCGCAGGCGGUUUUGUAAGUCUGUCGUGAAAUCCCCGGGCUUAACCUGGGAAUGGCGAUGGUGACUGCAAGGCUAGAGUUUGGCAGAGGGGGGUAGAAUUCCACGUGUAGCAGUGAAAUGCGUAGAGAUGUGGAGGAACACCGGUGGCGAAGGCAGCCCCCUGGGUCAAAACUGACGCUCAUGCACGAAAGCGUGGGGAGCAAACAGG